UACGAAGGGGGCUAGCGUUGCUCGGAAUCACUGGGCGUAAAGCGCACGUAGGCGGCUUGUUAAGUCAGGGUGAAUCCUGGAGCUCAACUCCAGAACUGCCUUUGAUACUGGCGAGCUCGAGUCCGGGAGAGUGAGUGGAACUGCGAGUGUAGAGGUGAAAUUCGUAGAUAUUCGCAAGAACACCAGUGGCGAAGGCGGCUCACUGGCCCGAUACUGACGCUGAGGCACGAAAGCGUGGGAGCAAACAGG
rnacentral:rRNA from 1 species